CAGUAGCCGCGGGAAUACGUAGGUGGCAAGCGUUGUCCGGAAUUAUUGGGCGUAAAGGGCUCGCAGGCGGUUUAUUAAGUCUGAUGUGAAAGCCCCCGGCUCAACCGGGGAGGGUCAUUGGAAACUGGGAAACUUGAGUGCAGAAGAGGAGAGUGGAAUUCCACGUGUAGCGGCGAAAUGCGUAGAGAUGUGGAGGAACACCAGUGGCGAAGGCGACUCUCAGGUCUGUAACUGACGCUGAGGAGCGAAAGCGUGGGGAGCGAACAGGAUUAGAUACCCGCGUAGUCCCUGUCUCUUAUAC
rnacentral:rRNA from 1 species